rnacentral:tRNA from 1 species
AGGAAAAGUUGCUAUAGGUAGGGCGAAAUAUUUGCUACAUAUUGUGUACUAACACCUGGGUGUUCGAUUCACCUCUUUUCCG